rnacentral:tRNA from 2 species
AUUUGUAUAGUUUAAUUAAAACAAUAUAUUUUCAAUAUAUAAAUAAUAAAGUUAUUUGCAAAUG